rfam:Rattus norvegicus chromosome 7, whole genome shotgun sequence.
GGGGAUUUAGCUCAGUGGUAGAGCGUUUGCCUAGCAAGCGCAAGGCCCUGGGUUCGGUCCCCAGCUCUG